UAGGGAAUCUUCCGCAAUGGACGCAAGUCUGACGGAGCAACGCCGCGUGAGUGAAGAAGGAUUUCGGUUCGUAAAACUCUGUUGUUAGAGAAGAACAGCGCAUAGAGUAACUGUUAUGCGUGUGACGGUAUCUAACCAGAAAGCCACGGCUAAUUACGUGCCAGCAGCCGCGGUAAUACGUAGGUGGCAAGCGUUGUCCGGAUUUAUUGGGCGUAAAGCGAGCGCAGGCGGUCAAUUAAGUCUGAUGUGAAAGCCCCCGGCUCAACCGGGGAGGGUCAUUGGAAACUGGUUGACUUGAGUGCAGAAGAGGAGAGUGGAAUUCCAUGUGUAGCGGUGAAAUGCGUAGAUAUAUGGAGGAACACCAGUGGCGAAGGCGACUCUCUGGUCUGUAACUGACGCUGAGGCUCGAAAGCGUGGGUAGCAAACAGG
rnacentral:rRNA from 1 species